AUAGAGGAUGCCGAGCUACUUUAAAGCCAUUUGGCGCAAGAACUGCACCAUGGAGCUACGCGGAACUUUUAAAGCAGGAUGAGGAUGGAGGAACGACGUGAAUUCGUGGAGAUUUGCCCGUGGGGAUCUUUGUGCUUGCCUUACCGCCGGGACCGGGGGGGGAGAACCUCCCCCACCCUCGGAGCCGCAGCGAUAUUUAAACAACGCAGACAGAGCACAGGGAAUGACAUCCAAGGCACGACACGAACGCCAGCACAGAUGCUUCUCUGUUCCGAGAGGGUUUCCUUGAGGAAGCUACUGAAGCAGAAAGACAUGAUGGAGACGAGAUCGCCUCCCCCCUUGUCAAAGUGUUAAAAAAUGUUCUGUGUCUUACUCCGCGCCCAGCAUUGGAAAUGAAAGUGACAUUUACUCC
rnacentral:lncRNA from 7 species